GUGGGGAAUAUUGGGCAAUGGGCGAAAGCCUGACCCAGCAACGCCGCGUGAAGGAAGAAGGUCUUCGGAUCGUAAACUUCUAUCCUUGGUGAAGAUAAUGACGGUAGCCGAGAAGGAAGCCCCGGCUAACUACGUGCCAGCAGCCGCGGUAAUACGUAGGGGGCAAGCGUUGUCCGGAAUGAUUGGGCGUAAAGGGCGCGUAGGCGGCCUGGUAAGUCUGGAGUGAAAGUCCUGCUUUUAAGGUGGGAAUUGCUUUGGAUACUGUCGGGCUUGAGUGCAGGAGAGGUAAGUGGAAUUCCCGGUGUAGCGGUGAAAUGCGUAGAGAUCGGGAGGAACACCAGUGGCGAAGGCGACUUACUGGACUGUAACUGACGCUGAGGCGCGAAAGCGUGGGGAGCAAACAGGAUUAGAAACCCGUGUAGUCC
rnacentral:rRNA from 1 species